UUUCAGAAUAAUUGUUUUUGUUUUAUUAAUGGGAUAAUGACCAGACGACAAAAUAAAAUACAAAGAGAAAUAAAGGAAAGACACACGCGCACACUCUAAACCUAAAAAGUAAAGUAAAACUAAAAAAAAACAACUCAGAAAAUCCCAAAUUCCAAAAUCGACAUAGCUUGAAACCUUAAAAUUAACAGAAAACAAACGACCGACCAUAUCCUUGAAAAUCGACCAAAACGAUGAAUCUCCCUACAAAACACACCGAAGGGGUUAAGAGAAGGAGGGAGAUUGAGGGAACCCUUUUCCCAAAUCAUGAAACCCUAAUCCUAGAACCUAAUAGAGUAAACUAACUCACAGUGGGUCAAGUCAACGUUGAUCUUUUGCUGCAACUUCCUGACCUCUGAAGGGGCAUCUUCCACCCAGAACCGGUCAAUUGAAUCUUUCUGACCUAGCGCCUCCAUUGCAUAUGUGGUAGAAUUACAUCAUCGAAGCACGAAUUUGAAACGAUAUAACUUAAAUUUUCUCGAAAGAGCUUUCACAUCCCAGGUAAUCGGUCGAAGAGCUGAAUAAUCUUCAUCAUUUGUUUGUAAUUUCAGUAUUACAAUUUUUGAAUCACUCUCUAGGAUGACUCGUCGGAAGCUCAUUUCUUGGACAAACUAUAAACUAUGUAGGAUUGCUAUCGCCUCCGCCACACAAAUUGUAGAAACCUAGAUAUAGAUACGAUACCCUGAUCCUAAAAUUUGCGCUAUAUCAUCCUGUACAAUAAACCCUGAACUCACUUUAUUUCUUAGUCCAUAGUAACCCGUAUUCACAUUAAUCUUGACCCACAAUGGCAGUAAGGGGACCAAUGGACUACCGCAGUAGGAGGAGGGUGUCUCAACACAGAUUUCAGUCCCCCGAUAUUCACUUCCAUAGCUAUGAAUAAAGGUAACAACUUCAUUUAUACUCUGCAAAAUUCUUUUAUGGAGAUAUUUAUUUUGCGCAUACCAUAGCGCCCAAACUGUAAUAGCAGCAAUUUCUUUAUUAUCUGUGGUUGAAUGUUCAAAAAUCCAACAUAACCAAUCCAGAAAACCAACAUUGGCCACCACUUCAGGCCAUUGGAAACCCAACUUUCCCCAAACCUGCUUUGCAAAAUAACAAUCACAACUAGCAUGAGUGGUUGAUUCAACCUCCAGCUGAUAUCGUGGACAUAACUGUCCUAUUGCAAUUCUUUUACAGUAUAAAAUUUGCAUGGUUGGAACAUAAUUGUUAACAAAUCAUCAAAGUGGUGUUCAUUGAUAAUGGGUAACAAAUCAUCAAAGUGGUGUUCAUUGAUAAUGGGAUGCUCAUAAUGGUGUCCACCUCUUCUUCUGUGAAUAGAGAUCUAAUGAGUCUAGUAUCCCAGCUUUUCGACUCUUGUAAAAUUAAAUCACUGACACAAUCUAUCCCUGCAACUCACUACGUGGUGAUCUUUCCGGGUUCCUUACCCGGCAACCAAUAAUCUUCUCAUAUUGAUACCAAGUGACCUAAAUUGAUCCUCCAUUUUAGCCCCAAAUUCAACAAACCUUUUGUACUCCAAAUACUCGUCCAUGUAAUAGAAGGAUUUGAGCCUAAAUUCAACUCAAUAAAACUUGUGUUUGGGUAAUACUUCGCAUAAAUCAAUUUUACCGAGAGCGAUCCAGGUUUCUAAGCAGCCCCCAUCACUGUUUCGCCAAUAGAGCGAUGUUAAAUUUUUCCAAAUCCUGAAAACCCAUCCCUUCAUCCUCUUUUAAAUAACAUAAUGUCUCUCAAAAACACUAAUGCAACCCUUUCCUUCCUCUCAAUUUCUGCCACAAAAAAGGGCCAUCAUAGCUUCUAGCUCUCUACAAAAAGAACUGGGCAAUAAGAAAUAUGACAUGGCAAAUAUUGGGAUAGCCUGUAAUACAAUUUUUAUAAAAACUUCACGUCCUCCAGUAGAUAAAGUUUUUGAGCCCCAACUAUUUAAUCUACUCAUACAUCUCUCUUUUAGUCCCCUAAAAGCCUCCUUUUUGUUCCUUCCUACGAUCAACAGGAGCUCUAGAUACUUCUAAAAAUUUUGAAUAGAGUGAACCCCUAAAAUUUGAUACACAUCUAUUCUUCAAAAGUGGGACACAUUCGAGCUAAAGAAAGCUCUUGAUUUAUCAAAAUUUACCAAUUGGCUCGAAUCGUCAGCAUAUUUCUCCAAAACCCUUUUCAAAGUAAUCUCCCCUUCUAACAACUGUCUACAAAAACCAUACUAUCAUCAACAAACAGUAAAUGAGUAACAGUAGGGGCAUACUGGUUAAUACGAAUUCCCUUUAAUCGCCCUUGCAUAGAUGUCGUGCGCAAUAAUACAGAUAAGUCUUUGCUACAGGUUCGAAACAAAUAUGGGCUAAGGUGGUCCCCUUGACGUAGCCCACGACCCGGUCGGAAAGACUCUCCCACUUUUCUAUAAACACAACCAAGUACGAGAUUGAUUCCACAGUUUCCACACAUUUCAUCAACAUUUCGAUCCACCCAUCCAAAAAACCCAUCUUCCCAAGCAUCUGCCUUGAGAAAACCCACUCAACUCUAUCAUGGGCUUUGUUCAUAUCUAACUUUAGAGCAUAGACCCCAAUCUUCCAUUCCUCUUAUUCUUUAAACAGUGUAAUAUCUCGUAAGCUGUUAGAAUAUUAUCUGAUAUAAGCCGUCCAGGUAUAAAGGUGUUUUGAGCCUCAUCAACACAUAAAUAAAUCAUCGAUUGUAAUCUAUUCACAAGCAUUUUUAAGAUAAUUUUGUAGAGAAUAUUACACAAACUCAUUAGUCUAAAUUGAGUCAUGUUUUGCGGGUUACUAACAUUUGGGAUCAAAACCACUCGGGUCUCAUUUAUCUUUGUAAUGUCCUGCUUAUCAACCAAAACUUUUAUACAAUAUGCAGCCACUUUCAUUCCCACAAUGUGUCAAAAACUCUGAUAAAACACUACACCGAGUUCAUCCUUCCCAGACGCUUUUAACGGACUCAUGGACUUAAUCGCAUCGCACACCUCUAUAACCGAGAAAUUCUAUAACAAAUUUUCAUUAAUAUCCGCUGAAAUGAAAGUCUCAACCCUUUGCAAAACUUCAUCAACGCCCGUUGAGCCCUUCGAAGAGAAGAGAGAAAGAAAAUUAUUUUUGGCAAUUUUCAACAGAUCCGAAUCGCCCUCAUACAAAGUGCCACUCUCAUCUAUCAGAUUUGACACAUGAUUUCUCCUUCUCCUACGUGAAGAAAAAUUAUGAAAAUAUGUAGUAUUUCUGUCACUAUUUUUCAACUAGUUGGCUCUUGCCCAUUGUUCCCAAUAAACCUCAUUUUUAUCAGCCUCUAAAUUUAGAGUUAAUUUCAUAUCUACUGUGUCCCUUAAAAUUACAUCCGUAGGGUAGCUCUCAUUUAACUGUUGGAGUCUCUUCUGUAAAUCAUAUUUUGUUGUUGAAUGAUUUUUCCGUAAUAUAUUCAAAGUAAACACACUUCACCCAAAACCAGACAACCUAAAGAAAUCAAAAUCAUAAAGGCGUGCAAAAAAGCAAAGACCAUGCUAAAAAGCAGAAAAAUACAUGCCGAAGAGGUAGAGAAAAAAAUAAAUAAUAAUAAACAUAGACAUUUAACAUAUUUAAAAGUAAAUAUGAUAUAACUUUUAAAUUGGUCAGACAAUCAACAUAAAUAGCCUUCAAUACAUACAUAAAUACAAUUAGGUACUACAUGCCUUAAUCUAUAUAACCUAUACUUAAUGUCUUAAUAUUUUGGUUAAAAUAUUUUGUGGUUAUAUAUAAUUUGAAUACCUUAAUAGUGUUAGAGACUGACAUAUGACUUCCCAUUUCUUUUAGGUUUACGUAAGUGCUUAUCCUCUUUUUUUUUUGCAGUUUUAGAAAAUGGUUAAAUUUUAGAUUUGGUUCAUCUAUUAUGCCUAAAUUUGAAAUUUAGAUACUACACUUUAAUUUCUAAUGUAAUUUGGUCCCUAUGGUUUUAUAUUGUUAUUAAUUAGACAAAAUAGUUAGUAUUUUUAAUUUUCAAUUAAGAUAUUAUUAGGUUAUAUAUAAUUUGAAUGCCUUAAGGUUUUAGAGAUGAAUACAUAGCUUUUUAUUCCUUUUAGGUUUGCCUUGUUUUAUUUUUUAUAUUAUAAGACAAUGAUUAAACUUCAGUUUUAACCUUAUACUAUGUUGAAACUGUUAUAAAAUAAAGAGUGACGGAGAGAAUAAAGAACAACGAAAAUAUGAAAGCAAUAAAGAAUGUAUUUUAUUGAUCAAAGGGAUGAUUUACAAUGUUUCAUCAAAGUCUUUAUUUAUAGGCAUAAAAAGUAUAAAAUAAGUAGAUAUCUAAUUCUAAUAACUAUUAGAAUUUAAAGUACAUCAAAACUUUAUCUUGAUCAUGAUGGACAUCCACUUAAUAAGAUAUUCAUAACACUCUCCCUUGGAUGUCCAUUGGUAGAUAAUGUGUCUCGUUAAAACCUUAUUAGGAAAAACCCUGUGGGAUAAAAAACCUAAUGAAGGAAAAAGAGCAUACAAUCUUUUAUUACAAGUUGCCUCGUUAAAAACCUUUACCAGGAAAACCCAAUGGGAUAAAACUUGGUUAAAGGAAAAGAGUACAACUUGUUUUUAGACUCCCUUGAUGACAACAUUACAUUACAUCUUUGAGUCGACGCAUUCCAAUCUUGUGUAGUAGUCUUUCAAACGUUGAAGUUGGCAAUGCCUUAGUAAAAAAAUCUGCUAAAUUAUCACUAGAAUGAAUUUGUUGAACAUUUAUAUCACCUUUUUUCUUAAGAUCAGAGGUGAAUAAUAAUUUUGGCAAAAUAUGUUUUGUUUUAUCACCUUUGAUGUAACCACCUUUCAAUUGAGCUAUACAUGCUGCAUUAUCUUCAUAUAAGAUAGUUGACAUCUUUUCCUAUAAAGGCAAAAAACAUAUCUUCUAGAUAUGUUAGGUCAAUAACUUUAGCCAAACACACUCUCGACUUACCUCAUGCAUUGCAAUUAUUUCUGCAUGAUUGAAGAAGCGGUAAGUAAUGUUUGCAUUGUUGACGCCAUGAUAUAAUAGUACCCCCACAUGUAAAUAAAUAUCCUAUUUGAGAUCAACCUUUAUGUGGAUCUAAUAAGUAUCCAGCAUCAGCAUAGCUAACUAAUAUGGAUUUUGAAUCAUUUGAAUAAAAUAACCCCAUACUAAUGGUCCCUGUGAAAUAUCUAAAUACAUGUUUAAUUUCAUUCCAAUGUCUACAUGUUGAAGAAGAACUAAAUUUUGCUAACAAGUUUACAACGAAAGCUAUAUCAGGUUUUGUGUUGUUUGCAAGAUACAUCAAUACCCCUAUGGCACUUAGAUAUGGCACUUCAGGACCAAGAAACUCUUCAUCAUUCUCACAAGGACGAAAUUGAUCUUUAUUCACAUCUAACAAUAGUACAACCAUUAGAGUACUUAAUAGGUGUGUUUUAUCCAUGUAAAAUUUCUUUAAUAUCUUUUCCAUAUCAGGUGAUUAAUGAACAUGAAUUUCAUCUUUUAAAUGCUCUAUUUGUAAUCCAAGAUAAAACUUUGUUUUUUCAAUAUCAUUCAUCUCAAAUUCUUUCUUUAAACAAUUUAUUGUAUUUUGAAACUCUUCAGAAGUUCCAAUAAUAUUUAGAUCGUCAACAUAAACAACAAUUAUCACAAAAUCUGAUCCAAACCUUUUUAUAAAGACACAUGAAAAAAUUGGAUCAUUUUCUUAACAUUCUUUUAACAAAGAUUCAUUAAGAAGAUUGUACCACAUACGUCUAGAUUUUUUUAUUCCAUAUAAAUUUUUUUUAAUCUGAUCGAGCAAUUUUUUUAAGAAACUUUAUAUCUUUUCGGGAUUUAAAUCCUUCAGGGAUUUUCAUUUAAAUUUCACUAUCAAAUGUACCAUAUAAAUAGGAUAUAAUAACAUCCAUUAGAUGCAUGUCAAGUUUUUCACGUACUGCCAGACUAAUAAGAUAUCUAAACGUGAUUGCAUCCACCACAUGAGAAUAUAUCUAUUCAUAAUCAAUGUCGGGCCUUUGCGAAAAUCCUUGUGCUACAAGGCGAGCUCUAUAUCUUAUGACUUCAUCAAUUUCCUUUUGUUUUCACACAAAUACCCAUUUAUUCCCUACCGGCUUUUACACAUUUAGGUGUUUGAACUACAAGUCUAAAAACUUCACGUUUAAAAAGUGAACUCAGUUCUGCUUGAAUUACAUCUUUCCAUUUUGGCCAAUCUUUUCUACUUUUACAUUCCUUAGUAGAUUUAGGCUCAAGAUCCUCAUUUUUUUUUAUUUUAAUAGCAAUAUUAUAAGCAAAAUUAUUAUCGACAACUACUUUUUUUUUGGUUCCAUCUUUUUCUCGUAUUGGCAUAUCUCUUUAUUUUCAUCAUUUCCAUUUUCACUUUUAGAUACCUGAAUCUCUUCUUGAGUUUUAUAAUUAAUUAUGUCAUGAGUUUCUUCAGGAACCUCCGCCUCCACUAUAUGACCAUCUUGAAUGUUUACUUCUUUACUUUUACGAGGAUUUUUAUCUUUGGAACUGAUCGGUCUUCCACGCUUCAUGCAUGGAUUACUUUCUUUUGCAUUAACAGUUUGCCUUAUUAGGACAUUAAUUCAUAUUGGAGCAUUUUCAGCUGGUGUGUGAGAUUUAAUGAAUUUGGCAGUUGAUUUGUAAAAUAAAUUAUCUGUUGAACUUCUGGCUCACAUUGUUUAAUACAAGGAUCUUAGAUAUUUAUAAUUCAUGUCAAAUACUUUAUUAAUCCAGCUUUUUAUUCUCUCCCCCUGAUGUUGGGAAAACUGACAACUCUUGUCAUAACUAAAUAUCGAAUUAAUAGCUCAAAAAUAUUAUAAUGAGACUCAUAUAAAUAUAGACUCACAAUCUCUAAUAAUAACCCAUCUUUGUGUGUUGUAGUGGAACAGCUGGAACAUAUACCGCACAUCCAAAAAAUUGUAAGAUGGGAAAUAUUUGGCUCUUGACCAAAAAUAAUUUGUAAUGAGGAGUAUUUAUAAUUUAUUGGUUUGAUGUGUACAACAUGUAAAUCAAUACAACCUCAUGCUGAAAUAGAAAGUUUUUUUUACAAUCUCAUGCUGAAAUAGAAAGUUUUAUUUUCUCAUAAGUAAUGAUUUAGCUAUUAGUUGAAGGCAUUUGAUAAACAAUUCAACUAAAUCAUUUUGUGUGUGAACAUGAGCUACAGGAUGUUCAACUUUUAUCACAAUUGGCAUGCAAUAAUCAUUGAAAACUUGAGAUGUAAACUCACCAACAUUAGAAAGAUGAAUUGUUUUAGUUGCAUAAUCUGAAAUUAAUCAUUUAAACAAGCAAUCUCGCAAAUGACAUUUUGCGAGUUGAUAACGCAUGUGGUUAUUUUGUAGAUGCAUCUACCAAAAUCAUAUAAUAUCAAAACCAUCCACAUGGUGGAUGAAUGUGCCCAUAUUUAUUUCAGAAAUGCCAAACAUUAAAUCUCAACUUUAGCUAGUGGGUUUCUAAGAACCAAUUUUUAUUGAGAACAAGCAACAAAUGUGAAUUCUUUAAAUUAAAGAAUCUUCUGGUUCUUUAAUGGAUGUCCAUAUGAAUUCUCAAUUAAUUUUCGCAUCAUAUACUAUCCAGGAUGGUCUAAUUGGUCACGCCAAGUAGCAAACACAUCUGUAUUAGUAAACUUUUGGUUUACUUUAACAUGUGUUUCAAGUGUACUAAAUUGUAACAAAUUGAUAAUUUUAUUAUCAUUUCUUUUAAUUUUUAUCCACAUAUAAGUACUAUUGUGACAUUUACUACUGGAAAUGUCUAAAUCAAUGUGAAGUCUAUAAUGCCACCAAGUCAAUAAAUAUAAUUUCCAAAUAAUUAUAUGCAAUAUUCGCUUUAGGGAAUAUGCCAAAAUCUUCAAAUGCCUAAAAAUCUAUUAAUAGCAAACUUUGAGAGUAGAUCUUAUUUUCCAGAUGUGCACCAGGUACAUAACCAUUAACUUUUCAUACAUAAGUUUUCUCUCUUGCAAGUUCUCAUCAGUAAUAUUUUACCAUAUAAUUUUAAUUGAGAACUUAUUCUAAAUACUGUAGAGUUAUACUCACAGUUUUUAAAAAAACUUGCAACUUUAGGUGCAUCCAACCAUAAUAAGCUUUAGAUAGAAUUAUCAUAUUCUAUUGGUCAUAAGUGUAUCUUUCACGAUCAAAUAUUUUGUUUUCAACCUUUAAUAGGGAUGAUGACAAAAGAAUAUCACAAAGAUUAUAAAAUAAAUAUAAAUUAAUAACUCAAUCUCCUUUUUUUAUUCAUAUGAAAUAUAAUAUUUUCCUUAUUUACAAUGUCAAUAUGAGAUCCAUUACAAAUAACUUUUAAAAGUAAUGUAUUAACCAUCAUAAAUUUUGUGCUUUUUAGAUAGUGAUUUAUUAGCUCUUCUGGAGCUUUCAUCUAAUUUUGUACUAUCAAAUAUUGGAAUAAUAUUUGUUUGUUUCAAUACCAAAUAAUAUAAAUAUUUUCUAUCUGUAAUUAUAGAAUUCAUUACUACAAUUUCAUAUCAUUCCUCAAAGAAUAUUAACAGAAACAAAAUAUUUGGGCAUAUGCCACAUAUGUGGUCAAUAAUCUUUCAUAUCACAUUGAUAACAUAAGUUAUCUUCACCCUUUGAAAAGUUAUCUUGAGAACUCUCAUUGUUCUCUUAUUUAUUACUAUAUAUUCACACUUUUAGUGGUCCAUGAGUAUAUAUAUAUAUUUUUUUGUAUACAUUCACUUCGGGGAAUGCAAUAGAUUUACUAGGACGAACUUAUAAACGUCUCAAUAGAUUCUUUAUUUCAUAAUCAUCAUCACAAACAUGCGUGGAUUUUAAAUUAGAAUCUAUAUAUUCAUGUUUUCAUGAUUAGUCUCCAAUUAUAAUAAACAUGAUAUGAUAAAUAAAAUAUAGUAAAAUAUACCUGAAAAUCUUUAACAUCAUCGUCAUCACCUUGACAAAUCAAUUCUUUACCCAUGCUUGUACAAUUGUAAAUCAUCGUGCUGAUAACGUGUAAUAAAAUAAAGAGAGGCGGAGAGAAUAAAGAACAAAGAAAAUAUGAAAGUAAUAAAGAAUGUACUUUAUUGAUCAAAGGGAUGAUUUACAAUGCUUCAUCAGAGUCUUUAUUUAUAGGCAUAAGAAGUAUAAAAGAAGUAGGUAUCUAAUUCUAAUAACUAUUAGAAUUUAAAGUACAUCAAAACUUUAUCUUGAUCAUGAUGGACAUCCACUUAAUAAGAUAUUCAUAACAAAAAUUUCUUUAUACUUUAUUUUUGGCAUAAUUUUAUCAUUCUACUUUUAUAAUAUCAUUAGUCGGUCUAAAUAUUUAACAUUUUUAACUAUUUCAACCAAACUGCUUACAUCAAUUUUUUUUAGGAACACUAUUCCAACAAAAAAAAUUAUUUAUCAUGAUGAGUUCGAAUGAAUGUUUUAAGAAAAAUAAUCUAUAUAAAAAUUUUCAAUGUUAUUUUUAUUGUUAUAUGACUACCAAGUGAUUUUUGUUUUUAAUUUCAAAAUGUCACGCUAAUAAAUUUGAUAGAAGAAUUUUAAUAGUAGUAAAAAUUGGACCAAAAUUUCUAAAUCUAAAAAGUAAAUUAAAGGUCUAAAUUUCUAAAAAUAAAAAGUAAGAUUAGACCUUCAAAUUUAUAAUUUAUAAUUUAACACAAACAAAUAAUCAACCUAGUUAUUAUAAUAUAAGAAUCAACAUCAGUUAAUUAAUUAAGCCUAGUCAAAUCGUAGAAAUAUUGAAUCUUUUGAAGUUUCCUCCAAUAAAAGAUGAUUGGGUAUGAAAGAAAUUUAAAGGAUAGGAAGUAAGCAAAAUAGUUGGGGAAGGCAUCGAGAGGUUAGGGGGAAAGGGGUUGUAGGUGAAUGAGAAACUCUUUUAAUCUACUAAUUUUUUUAUAAAUAUUUUAGUAGAUUAAACGAAUUUUAAUCCCAUAAAUCUGUGGUUUUUUGUAGAGAGAUACUUGUAGCUAAUAAAAUUAUGACAUGAGUGAAAAUUCAGGGCUUUAAUGGUAAAAACAAUAAAUUAUGGACUUAUUUAACUACAAAAUAAAUUGUUUAAAACAUACCAUAAGAGAGUGUUUGGUUCAGUGUAUUACCCAAUCCAUUACACCUCGAUUACGCGUGUAAUACAUUACGCCCCUAUUCCGGCGUUUGGUUCGCUGUAAUAGAUAUUAUGCGCGUAUUACAUUACGCCCCUAAUCCCCAAAUUGCCGUGUUUUCUAAUCCCUUCCCAAUUCGCUGUAAUAGCUAUUGCGUCCGGCUUCCCUCCCCAUCUCUCUGUUUUACCCUCCCUCCCUACCCGACCCUCUCCUCUGCUGUCCUCGAAAUACACUGAACCAAACGCUCUCUUAGUUUACCCUCCCUCUUUUACCUUCCCAGGCUUCACCUUUUAUUUUCUUUUUCUUUACAACUGAUUUGCUCCUUCUCAACCUUUUCUUUUCUUUUUGUAUCAUUAUAGCUCCAAAUUUUUGUUGUUUGAUCAAAUCCAAAAUAUUAAUCUCAGCUUCGCACAAAAACUGUAAGUCAAAUACCUUUCUAUCAGCAGUUUAUUUCUUUAUCAUUUUCGUUGAAUUUUGC
rnacentral:lncRNA from 1 species